UUUAUUAGUAUCAUGCAAGAACUGAAUUAACACCCGCAAUUGCAUAUUUGGAGACUACAUCGAAGUCCAGAAACAUCAUCUCUAUUUACGUAGUAGCUCAGAAAGCAACAUUAUGCCUUUUCUUUUCCUUUACAAAAAGGGGAGGCGAUAAGACUUUGCGUGGAGACGAGAGCUCCAAGGACAAGCAGGAGGCACAGCACUCUCUAUCUCCUUCUAGAACUCAGAUUGCGGGAAGACGGAACCCGUGUGGC
rnacentral:lncRNA from 1 species